rnacentral:rRNA from 1 species
UGGCGGCCAUAGCGCGGUGGACCCACCUGAACCCAUGCCGAACUCAGAAGUGAAACGCCGUAGCGCCGAUGGUAGUGUGGGGUCUCCCCAUGCGAGAGUAGGACAUUGCCAGGCA